CUCCCCGCGGUAGACUUCAAAUACUCUUUGUCCUGCCCCUGCUUGGCGAAAUUUACCGAAAUUAUCUACCUAUCCCGCUGGAGUGGGAGCCGGGGGAGAGCUGGAACCGCGUCUCUGCUGCUCACCUUUGUGUCCUUAGCUCCUUCGCAUGGGGUCCGACCGCAACACGUGCGCUGGAUAAACGCUUGUUAACUGGAGCUCCCUCUUUGCCCACUAGCAGGGCAUUAGCUGGUGCUGAAGACAGUGGCUGCUUGGCGAGCCUGGAUCUCCAAGUGACCCCCUCAGCAACUCCUGAUGAACAGGACUGAAGCCAAUAUUAAAGCAAGUCAACCAAAGGUUCUCUGGUGUAGACAAGACAGCAAAAGGACAGACUACCUUGUGGAACCUAGCAUUGUUCUCCUUCUGCAGCACUAAGUAACAUUUGUUCUCCGUUAAGAUCUUUGCAAACCACACACAAGAAUUGCUGGUCAUCCUGCCAAUAGAUGCUGCUCACAGAACCAAAUUUCCUGUGCUGAAUUGUCACUCAUGGGCUUGAGAGUAGGAGACUGGAGACCAAGGUGGCUAGAAUCCAGUUGGGCCUGAUGUCUCCCUGUUGAAAGGGCUCCUUGUGGAAUGAAUAGCACAUGGCUCCUGUGGUGGAUCUGAUAGUGGCAUAGCACCAAGUGAUGCAGGCCUGCCAGGGGCCACAGACACAGAAGAUGCUCCCGGGGUCCCCCAUGUACUCCAGACACACUGCAGGCCACCUCUCCCAGCAGGUUGCCAGUCAUGGGCCCCAUCAUCAUGACUUCUGUCCAAGGUGUGCUCGGAAAUCUCUUCCUUAACUGUGACUUUCUGACAGGUGGAGGAUGUGGUCAGGAGUGGGAAAAGGAUUCGAGACGGGAAGAGGGAGGGGUUCAGGAUGAAGAGAGAUAAUCUGUGCCACAGAUGCUGGCCCUGCAGUUAGCUCCCACCUAGUCCGUGCACACACAUUCUAAUCCCCUCCCAUUCCUUUACAUGCUGCGGCCAGAGAGGCCUUUCUCAAAGUGGAAGUCUCAUCCUCACUUCUCUGGUUACAGUGCUGGGCCAUGGUAACUUACAAGGCUUAGCAGGAACUGUCUGCGCACUCCCCCUUCCUGCCCACUACCUUGUUUCCCUCCAGUUGCGAGAGAAAACAUUGAUUGAGCAUUAACUAUGUGCCAGGCUUGUCCUAAGUCCUUUGCAUGUAUUCACUCAAACAAUCCUCACAACAUUCCUAUCACAUCUCCCAUUUCACAGUGAGGGUUCUAAAGCACGUAGUGGGUGAGGAACUUGUCCAGGGUCACACAACUAAGUGGGGGUGGAGAAACAUCAAAUCUAGGUGGUCCAGGUGGUGGCCAGAACCCAUCAGCACCUCACUACAGCUGCCUCCAGUUUCUCGCUCUAGGAAAUACUCUUCCCUGUCAACUCCUGUUGUCCUCUGGGCUCAGUUGACAUGUCAUCUCCUUGAGGAGGACAUCCUGAGAUGCUCCCCGACUAGGGUGGGCACCCACUUCCACACUCCAAAUGCCUAUUUGACCUGUGUAUCGCUGCAUCCCCACUGCCUGGCAGAUAGCAGGCCCCUAAUAAAUAUGAUUUGAGCAAAUAAAUAUAGUUCUUCAAAAAAUAGGGAGGACUUCUUGCUUCAGGUAAUGGUAGGCUAGGACAUUUGGACCAACCCUCCUGCAGAAAAUAGCCAUUUAUUUUGAUGCAAUAUAUCUGGCUAUGACUAGAGAUUUCAAAUAUUUGGAGGGCUAUUAUGUGAAGAACUAAACUUACUCUUUGUGACAUAGAGGUCAGAAAUUGGUCGUUUCCAUAGAGUAUGAGAGAGACAGAAUUGUGCUCAUCAUAAGUAUCUUUUUUAAAAGUUAGACUUAAUAAAAUGGGCUGCCUUGGUAGGUGGUGAGUUCUCUGUCACGAAAGAGAUUCAGCCACUUGCUCUGAGAAAGCAUGGAGAAUAUCAACAUUGUAAGGGUCGACCACCUCAUCUCUGAGGCCCCCUCCUCACUUAGGUUGCCAUUGCAGGUGGAACACUGGGCUGAGUGUCAAAGAACCUGGGUUCCACAAGCUGUGCGACCAUGGCUGGUUGUUUUGGAUCUCAUUCCUAAUAUCUGUUAGUUAAGCUGACCCGUCAAUACUGACCCACUUCACAGAGUUAUGAAGGGAUUAAAUUAGGUAUUACAUGUAAAUCUGUUUUGUUUGCUUUUUGUUGUUCUUUUUUGUUUUGCUUUUUUCUUUGCAUUAUGAAAUCCCAAGUCAACUUUUUCCAUUCUUUUAUUUUUUUAAAAAUUGACAUCAUCAUUAUAACCACAAAAUAAUUUUUAAAAUGGAAAAAAAAAACUCACCUGCAACCCCACAAUCUAAUACAAUAAUCAUACUUUUUUCCCUUUAUUCUCCUUUAUUGUGACCAAGGAUGACUUUGGGCAUUGCUGUGAGGAACUAUUUCGUUUAACACCCUACUACCUGAACAUGAUGCGUACUCAGCCUUUCACCACCCCCCAAGUAGCUACACAUGAUGUGAUAAUAGUAUUGGUGGUGGUUUUAGAGAGUUGGAGAGAAAACUGAAGUUGGAUUUGGGUAAAAGAAAAAAGAGUGGGAAUUAUUUUUUCUCCAUUCUAAAGCCCAUAAAGCAAUGUUAAUUGUUCCCACCCCUCUGCUAUUCUGUCUCCUCAGGUACUGUGUGCAGAAAUGUGAUUGAGAUUCAAGUCAGGGCCUCUCUGCCCUUUUCCCUCCAGAAACAAAACCAAGAUAAUUUAUCCUGAACACGGUGAAAAAAGGAAGGGAGGGAGGAGAAAAAGUCCGGGUCUCACCUGGGAUUCUCUGUCUCCUGCAACAUGAAGGAUUUAGCCUGGGAGGAGGUGGUGAGAACUCUGGGAGAGAAAAAAGAAGGAAAGAAUAGUUUUACCCAUGCUGAAGUUAAUUUAAACCUUCACCUAGAGAAGCAAAAAAAAAAAACCCACACUUUCCCAUUUUGUGCCUCCCUUCCUAGAGUUUUAGCCAAAGGUUUAGCUAAGUAAUUGGUUUUACCAGCGCACUCACUCCUCCUAUCCCAAGUCUGUUUGACUCCCUCCCCAUCAUCCUCCUCACCUCUUUUCAGGCAGGGUGGGGAUAGCAGCAGGAGGAGAUUUUGGGAGCCUGGCAACUCCUGCAAGGACCGCAGGACAGCCCCUCUGUGGGGAUGCGUGGUGCCCCAUCUGCCGCCCUUCUGAAGAAUGCACUGCCUUCACUUUUUACUGUGUUAGAGUCCAUCCAGACUGUUCUAUCCAAAAAAGUUUCUUUUUCCCCCACAGGCAAUCAGGAAAUGAUUCCUUUCCCGACUGCUUCUGUCUAGUGCCUGGGAAUCUUGAGUCAAUCCCUCAGUAAGUCAGUGACUAGGGAAAUCCCUCUCUGAGCCUCCCAGUUCAUGUUGCUUAGGGAACCUGAUAUUUUCGUGAAACCUGCCUACACAUGGGCAGCCCAACAGCAGAACAAAUGGUGGUGACCAAAGUGAACAAAGAAGUAUAGUUGUGCCAGCUUCGUAGUUGCCCAUGUGGACAAGUCAGCAGGAUCAGGACACGAGGAAGAGUAAAUGUGAGACAGUCAAUGUGACUUCUGCGAUAAACAGAUUUUUAAACCCCGAAAUUUUGCAAAAUUUUGGUGAAACCUGAACUUUCUUCGUUGCAUAUACUGGCACUAUCUGUACCAUCAUACAACUGUCUCACAUUAAAGCUAUUUUUCUUGGGCACUGAUGAGUAAGGUUGGUAUAAGUUCCUCAGAUCAACAAAAACCCAUUUUCCUGUAAGUCUUACAUUUAGUAUUUAAGGAACUAAAACUUAAAUACAUUUUGUGAAAUGGUUGACACUUCACUGAUAAUGAUUUAUUGCUUGGAUUAAUAAAUUUUCCAAAAGUUGUCUUAUGUAGAAUAUGGUUUGCAACCAGCAGAACCAUUAAUCUAUACUGCAAUGAUAUGCACUAUGUAUAAUUGUUUAAAAGCCUCUACUUAAUGAUGUAAAAUGCUCUAUUUAAUUACACAUUUGGGUAAACUGUAUACUAACAUCUGAUGGCAUUUUUCCACUGUUUGUUGCUUUUUUCAAAUACUUUAUUGUACAAAGCUGUUCUUAAUAUUUUUCAAGUUUUUUUCUUUGAAUUUUGCUAAUGUUUUCCUUGAAUUAUGAGCACUGACAGAAUGUGCUUAGCACUUUUGGCUAUUCACACAGCUUUUGAGCAUGAUUUGCAUCCAAUAUUUACAUUGCUAGCAAUAAUAAGCCAUCUGUGAGUUUUGUCAAAA
rnacentral:lncRNA from 10 species